CGUUUCACUCUUCACCGCAAAAGCCACCACUCUCCACGACGAUCCCUGGCCCCCGCUCUCUCUCUCUCUCUCUCCAAGGCUUGAGCUUUGCGAAGUCUCAAUCUGAAGCUCCCCCAUCUGUUCCCAUGGCGGCCGGACUUUGCGCCACCGCGACCUCUAAACCCUUCCGUCUCUUCCACCAUUCCCACCUCGUACAAAAACCCACUCCCCUCUUCAGUCCCUCAGUUCUCCGCCUCAGAACAAUCCACAAAUCCCGAAGGAAAACAUUCUUCACUGUCUGCGUCAUCGUGGAGGACCAAAAACAAAGUAGUCAGCCGGGGAUUCUUAAAGAUGAAAUUACCGAUGGUAAGAAUUAUCAGAUCCCAUCCGCUCGUGCGGCUGAGAGGUUGGCCAAGAAAAUAUCCGAGAGGUCCACUUAUCUAGUAGCUGCUAUCAUUUCUAGCCUUGGUAUUACUUCUAUGGCUGUCAUGGCUGUUUAUUAUAGAUUUUCCUGGCAAAUGGAGGGUGGCGAGGUGCCUUUGUCUGAAAUGUUUGGUACAUUUGCUCUCUCUGUGGGUGCUGCUGUGGGUAUGGAGUUUUGGGCAAGGUGGGCGCACAAAGCUCUAUGGCAUGCUUCCUUAUGGCACAUGCAUGAGUCCCACCAUCGAGCUAGGGAAGGUCCGUUCGAGCUCAACGACGUUUUUGCCAUUAUCAAUGCUGCCCCAGCCAUUGGUCUCCUUUCCUAUGGUUUUUUCCACAAAGGCCUUGUACCUGGUUUGUGUUUUGGUGCUGGUCUUGGCAUUACGGUGUUCGGCAUGGCCUACAUGUUUGUCCACGAUGGUCUGGUCCAUAAAAGAUUCCCAGUUGGGCCAAUUGCCAACGUGCCCUAUUUCAGAACGGUAGCUGCUGCUCACCAGAUUCAUCACACUGACAAGUUUCAUGGUGUGCCAUACGGUUUUUUCUUGGGACCUGAGGAGCUGGAAAAGGUGGGAGGCUCGGAAGAGUUGGAAAAGGAGAUUAAUAGGAGGAAGCAAAUGAUCAGAUAAUUAGGGACGUUCAUGAGUGUUCAGUCGUCAUGAAUGGGAACCCGUUUUGUAACACAGAUUAAUAUGAGGAUUCACAACCAAGUGGAGGAUAUUAAUUAAGAAGGUGGGGGAAACCUUUUAGGCUUUGCAACCUCAAGCUGAAAUCCUCUGAGUUUUGUUUGCAAUAGCCUUUUUGGUAAUGCCAGUGCAUGGAGUUGCUGGUUUAUUUGUACUGCUACUACUGAAAUGUACUAUUACUAAAGUUGAUGGUUUAUCAAUUGGUUUGUACUGGUUUGAGUGUGAAAUGUGAAUCUACUGCUGGUUUAUGAGUUGGAAAUGUUGGUGGAAAUGUUGGGUAGAAACUUGUUAAUUGGUUUAUCAACUGGUUUGAUACUAAAAUUUGAUGACUGGUUUGUAAUUGUUUCAGAUACUGAAAUGUGUUUGAAUUUCUGGUUUAUGAGUUGGAAA